rnacentral:lncRNA from 1 species
GUUGUAAUUUUAUCCUGAACUGGUAGAGAUAAAAUUGAUUAUUCAAUGUUGUAAUAGUUUCAGAAUUGGAAUGGAUUAUGGUUUGGAUGUGGUUGUUGAUAGAUAUAUUUACUAAUUUUUUAAUAUUUUCGGGCGAAUGAUAUAUUCCUGAUUUACCGAUCGUUCAUAGCACAAAUGACAAAAGGUUUAAUUGUUGGUAUCCGAGAUUCUAAAUUCAAAAUUUAAUUGCUUUACAUUUCCCGCUGAGUCUAUUUCUAAAAAAAAUGAAUAAAACAAGUAAUAUACUAUUUUUGUUAAUAGAUAGAUAAAAAUUCUAAAUCUAUUAGAUGUUAACCAAAAUACCGCUAGUGAUAGAUAAAUU